rnacentral:pre_miRNA from 1 species
UAACUACUCCCUCUAUACGGAAAUACUUGUCGAAAAGUGGAUGUAUCUAAAAAUAUUUUCAUUCUAUAUACAUUCAUUUUUAUCCAUCUACCUGACUAGUAUUUCCGUAAGGAGGGAGUAUUUA